AUUGAACGCUAGCGGGAUGCCUUACACAUGCAAGUCGAACGGAGUGGCGAACGGGUGAGUAAUGUAUCGGAACGUGCCCAGCAGCGGGGGAUAACUACGCGAAAGAGAAGCUAACACAGCAUACAAUUGGAGCGGCCGACAUCGGAGUAGCUAGUUGGUGGGGUAACGGCUCACCCAGGCGACGAUCCGUAGCUGGUUUGAGAGGACGACCAGCCACACUGGGACUGAGACACGGUCCAGACUCCUACGGGAGGCAGCAGUGGGGAAUAUUGGACAAUGGGCGAAACCCUGAUCCAGCCAUCCCGCGUGUGCGAUGAAGGCCUUCGGGUUGUAAAGCACUUUUGGCAGGGAGGCGGUACCUGCAGAAGAAGCACCGGCUAACUACGUGCCAGCAGCCGCGGUAAUUC
rnacentral:rRNA from 1 species